ensembl:misc_RNA Metazoa_SRP Metazoan signal recognition particle RNA
GCUGGGCAUGGUGGUGCCUGCCUGUAAUCCCAGCUACUCAGGAGGCUGAGGUAGGAGAAUCACUUGAACCUGGGAGGUGGAGGUUGCAGUGAGCCAAGAUUGGGCCACUGCACUCCAGCCUGGGUGACAAAGCGAGACUCUGUCUCAA